AUUGAACGCUGGCGGCAUGCCUUACACAUGCAAGUCGAACGGCAGCACGGGGCAACCUGGUGGCGAGUGGCGAACGGGUGAGUAAUGCAUCGGAACGUACCUUUCAGUGGGGGAUAACGUAGCGAAAGUUACGCUAAUACCGCAUAUUCUGUGAGCAGGAAAGCAGGGGAUCGCAAGACCUUGCGCUGAUUGAGCGGCCGAUGUCAGAUUAGCUAGUUGGUGAGGUAAAGGCCCACCAAGGCGACGAUCUGUAGCGGGUCUGAGAGGAUGAUCCGCCACACUGGAACUGAGACACGGUCCAGACUCCUACGGGAGGCAGCAGUGGGGAAUUUUGGACAAUGGGGGCAACCCUGAUCCAGCCAUGCCGCGUGAGUGAAGAAGGCCUUCGGGUUGUAAGGCUCUUUCGGCCGGGAAGAAAUCGCACGGGCUAAUACCCUGUGUGGAUGACGGUACCGGAAUAAGAAGCACCGGCUAACUACGUGCCAGCCGCCGCCGUAAGAC
rnacentral:rRNA from 1 species